GCUCCUACGGGAGGCAGCAGUGAGGAAUAUUGGUCAAUGGGCGAGAGCCUGAACCAGCCAAGUCGCGUGAGGGAAGACGGUCCUAUGGAUUGUAAACCUCUUUUGCCGGGGAGCAAAAAGCGGUACGUGUACCGCAUCGAGAGUACCCGGAGAAAAAGCAUCGGCUAACUCCGUGCCAGCAGCCGCGGUAAUACGGAGGAUGCGAGCGUUAUCCGGAUUUAUUGGGUUUAAAGGGUGCGCAGUCGGCGAGUUAAGUCAGCGGUAAAAUUUUGGGGCUCACCCGCGACGAGCUGUUGAAACUGUAU
rnacentral:rRNA from 1 species